ACUGGUUUCUUCUGGUGUUCAGA
rnacentral:miRNA from 17 species